rnacentral:rRNA from 1 species
UACGUAGGGUGCGAGCGUUAAUCGGAAUUACUGGGCGUAAAGCGUGCGCAGGCGGUUUUGCAAGCCGGAUGUGAAAUCCCCGGGCUCAACCUGGGAAUGGCAUUCGGGACUGCAAGGCUGGAGUGCGGCAGAGGAGACUGGAAUUCCUGGUGUAGCAGUGAAAUGCGUAGAUAUCAGGAGGAAUACCGAUGGCGAAGGCAGGUCUCUGGGCUGACACUGACGCUGAGGCACGAAAGCUAGGGGAGCAAACAGG